rnacentral:rRNA from 1 species
GGUAGCCGGCCUGAGAGGGUGUCCGGCCACACUGGGACUGAGAUACGGCCCAGACUCCUACGGGAGGCAGCAGUGGGGAAUAUUGCACAAUGGGCGCAAGCCUGAUGCAGCGACGCCNCGUGGGGGAUGACGGCCUUCGGGUUGUAAACCUCUUUCAAUAGGGACGAAGCGCAAGUGACGGUACCUAUAGAAGAAGCACCGGCCAACUACGUGCCAGCAGCCGCGGUAAUACGUAGGGUGCGAGCGUUGUCCGGAAUUACUGGGCGUAAAGAGCUCGUAGGUGGUUUGUCGCGUUGUCCGUGAAAUUUCACAACUCAAUUGUGAGCGUGCGGGCGAUACGGGCAGACUGGAGUACUGCAGGGGAGACUGGAAUUCC